rnacentral:rRNA from 2 species
UACGGAGGGGGCUAGCGUUGUUCGGAAUUACUGGGCGUAAAGCGCGCGUAGGCGGCUUUGUAAGUUAGAGGUGAAAGCCCGGAGCUCAACUCCGGAAUUGCCUUUAAGACUGCAUCGCUAGAAUCAUGGAGAGGUGAGUGGAAUUCCGAGUGUAGAGGUGAAAUUCGUAGAUAUUCGGAAGAACACCAGUGGCGAAGGCGACUCACUGGACAUGUAUUGACGCUGAGGUGCGAAAGCGUGGGGAGCAAACAGG